GUCGAGAAUAAUUCACAAUGGACGAAAGUCUGAUGGUGCAACGCCGCGUGGAGGAUGAAGGUCUUCGGAUUGUAAACUCCUGUCAUCGGGGAGUAAGACCUGGCGGUAAAUAGCCGACAGGGUUGAUAGUACCCGAAGAGGAAGGGACGGCUAACUUCGUGCCAGCAGCCGCGGUAAUACGAAGGUCCCAAGCGUUGUUCGGAAUCACUGGGCGUAAAGGGAGCGUAGGCGGCGUGGUAAGUCAGAUGUGAAAUCCCGGGGCUCAACCCCGGAACUGCAUCCGAUCCUGCCAUGCUUGAGGGUUGGAGAGGUAGCUGGAAUUCUCGGUGUAGCAGUGAAAUGCGUGGAUAUCGAGAGGAACACUCGUGGCGAAGGCGAGCUACUGGACAACAUCUGACGCUGAGGCUCGAAGGCCAGGGGAGCAAAAGGGAUUAGAUACCCGGGUAGUCC
rnacentral:rRNA from 1 species